rnacentral:lncRNA from 1 species
CUCAUUUUCUUUCUCUUUUUACUCAUUUUCUCAUGCAUUUUGUUUCAUUUGCUCCUUUUCUGCUCUUGCUUCUGGUUUUCACGUUCAAAAAUUUCAAUUUUUUUUCUCUUCUGAUUCUUUUUAGAAACUUUUAAUUUGUUUCGACUUUUGCUCUGGCGAUGUUGAGCUUCUGAGUAACAGGUAAGUUUUUCUGCUUUGGGAUAUUUUGUCUUCACUUCCAAUUCCAUAGACGAUUGCGUUACUGCUAAUUUUAGAAGGUAUAGAAUUUUUGAUGGCUAUUCUAGAAUUACUUGAGCCUUUAGCUAUUUUCUUAAUUGAGUCUACUCAUGCAUGUUCUAUUCUGAAUAUUCUCAUUCAGCAAUGGGUAAUAUUCUAUGGAUUAUUUUGUCCUUCUCUUUCAUUCUCUAUCACCUCCGCUUGCCCCUAUUAAAAAAAAUCAAAUUUACUAAAGGUUUAUAUAGAAUUUUUUCGGUCUUUGGAUUUUUUUUCUUUUAACUAAUUUUGCACAUGCAUAUCCUCGUACACUAUUUUUUGUUAAUUCAUAGUUGUCAGUGGAAUUUAAGAAGUACUCGACGAGAAAGAAAUGCUCUGUGAACAAAAUUCCCAAAGUUCAGUAAUGCAUUUAUGUCCUGUCAAUUAUUUUGGUUGCCUUUCAGCUUACUUAUGAUCUAUAUUGAAGUUGGCAAAACGAGUUUUACUUUAGCUAGGCAUUGUGUUCUAAUUCUAAAGAUUCAACUUUUAGAAACAGAAAUCAAUAGGCUUGCAGCAGGGGCAACGAGGCUAAUGGAAGUCAAGGCGAGCAAGGUGAAGAGUACAUCAUUCGAUGCUUGUAUACGGUCGAAACUGAUUUUAUCGGACCCUAAAAAUUCGAGGGCCCUACGAACCAAAGCUGCUCGAUUCACACCUACUGUAGAUGGAACAUUAUACCGAAGGACAUUCGAUGGACCGUUAGCAGUUUGCUUAGGUCCAGGAGAUACCGACUACAUCCUACGUGAGAUUCACGAGGGUACUUGUGGAAAUCAUUCCGGUGCCGAUUCGUUGGUCCGAAAAAUAAUCAGAGCAGAAUAUUAUUGGGUCGGCAUGGACAAAGAUGCAAAGGAGUUUGUUCGAAAAUGUGACAAAUGUCAAAGGUUUGCAUCGAUGAUCCAUCAGCCCGGAGAGCAACUUCACUCAGUCCUUUCCCCAUGGCCAUUCAUGAAAUGGGGAAUGGAUAUCGUCGGCCCUCUGCCAGGUAAAGCUAAGUUUAUUUUAUUUAUGACUGACUAUUUCUCUAAAUGGGUUGAAGCACAGGCAUUCGAAAAAAUAAGGGAGAAAGAGGUUAUAGACUUCAUCUGGGAUCAUAUCGUAUGUCGAUUUGGGAUACCCACCGAAAUAGUGUGUGACAAUGGGAAACAAUUUAUCGGCAGCAAAAUGACGAAAUUCCUCGAAGACCACAAAAUAAAAAAGAUAUUAUCAACACUGUAUCACUCUAGUGGGAACGGACAGGCCGAAUCGACAAACAAGACUAUCAUUCAAAACCUAAAGAAAAUGUUGAACGACGCUAAAGGAAAAUGGAGAGAAAUUCUACCCGAAAUUCUUUGGGCAUAUCGAACAACAUCAAAAUCUAGUACGGGGCAACCCCGUUCUCCUUAGUAUAUGGCUCUGAAGCCUUGAUUCCAGUCGAAGUCGGGGAACCUAGUGCCAGGUUUCGAUAUACAACAGAAGAGUCAAAUCACGAGGCUAUGAAUACUUGCCUCGAAUUAUUGGAUGAAAAACGAGAAGCUGCUCUCGUCCAAUUGGCCGCCCAAAAACAGCGGAUCGAAAGGUACUAUAAUCGAAGAACCAAUCUCCGCCAUUUUAAAAUCGGGGACUUAGUGCUAAGGAAAGUCACCCUCAGCACCCGAAAUCCAAAUGAAGGAAAACUGGGUCCAAACUGGGAAGAACCAUAUCAGGUUCUCGAAAACGUCGGUAAAGGAUCCUACAAGCUCGGUAUUAUAAACGGCAAACAACUACCAAGCAAUUGGAACGUGUCGCACCUAAAACGAUAUUACUGUUAAGGUACGACCCUCUCAUAUUCGUUUAUAUUUCGAAACUAACCCUUGCAGGAGUCCGAUCAGGAACAAGGAUGGAUCAUUCAACACGAAGCCUUAGGUCUGAAAGCACGCGUUGCACUCUUUUUCCCUUAGACCAGUUUUAUCCCAAAUGAGUUUUUUGGCAAGGUUUUUAAUGAGGCAACCAUUGAUCGUGCUAACUUAGAGCAAUCCAACAGUAUCCAAGGCCUCUUUACAAUCAACCUCGAAUACUGGUGGGGCAUUACCCGGAAAUAUAUCAAGUGUUCGUACGAGAAAGUUACUUCAUAAUAACAGGGUUCCGAUAGGAAAAAUUGUAAGAGCCAAAUGGUCAAAACGAACCAUGCUCGUUUAGGUUGCUCGAUCCCUGGUACAAAACAUAAUCACAUGUAUAACGACAUGAAAAGAAACUUCUUUGCCCAUAUCUCGUGUCUUACAACCCAUCCUCUAUUUCAUGAUCUACUACGCAAACAGGUUCAAGGACCGACCAUUACCCCACAAAUCGGGGAUUGCCACUCGACUUUUAAGCCUACGGGCUACUCUUAUUUUGAGUUCGAGAAGUCACUCACUCAAUCAUUAAGCCUACGGGCUACAUUACUUCGAGUUCGAGCAAGCACUCACUCGAAUACUAAGCCUACGGGCUACUCUUAUUUUGAGUUUGAGAAAUCACUCACUCAAUCAUUAAGCCUACGGGCUACUUUUAUUUUGAGUUUGAGAAAUCACUCACUCAAUCAUUAAGCCUACAGGCUACAUUACUUCGAGUUCGAUCAAGGCACUCACUCGAAUACUUAGUCUACGGGCUACUCUUAUUUUGAGUUCGAGAAAUCACUCACUCAAUCAUUAAGCCUACGGGCUACAUUAUUUCGAGUUCGAGUAAGCACUCACUCGACUAUUAAGCCUACAAGCUACUCUUAUUUUGAGUUCGAGCAAGCCCUCACUCGACUAAUAAGCCUAUGGGCUACUCUUAUUUUGAGUUCGAGAAAUCACUCACUCAAUCAUUAAGCCUACAUGCGUUUAAGUCGAAAGGGGGAAAUAAUAGCCGUCUUUUAGAGGCCAUAUGGGUCCAACCUAAAAGAGCCUAAGGGCCAAUACAUUUAGAGUUCGAGAUGUUUUCACUCAACUCGGACCUAAGGGUUCCACUAGUCCAAGUUCGAAAUAAAGUUGGCUUGAACUUAGCUCAAGGAUCUGCCAUAAAACCUCAAAAGGUAUGUUACUGCAAGUUGAAAAUUACCCAUUAUUUGAUAAAAAACCUAAGGGUUUAUUCUAUCCUAAACGUACUCGAACUUAGUUAUAAAAGCGGCGCAUUGAUCAAGCCAUCCGAAAUCUCGAACAUGUUAUUAAACUUGGGGACUCACCCUGCGUAGCUAAAAAACCUAAGGGUUUUGUUCUAAGUCCGAACUAGCGUUCACUCGAUUACAGAAGCUGCAACUAUAGAGUUUUCACAAAGCAAAAGCACAAAACACAUUUGAGCAGAGAAGAUAUUCAAAAGAAGUUUCCUAUUAUAUAUCGACAGAAGAAGUUAUUUACAAGGGACCGAUAAGGGUCUUACAAAAAGGGAAACUAAGUUCUAACUAUGGCCGGUUUCGACCUCUUCUUCGGGAACAACUUCUCCUUCAGGACCUAUAUCGGAUCCGCCUCGAUUGCCUUCUUCAUCAUCGUCCUCGUCAUCGAAGGAGACAAGCUGCCUGGCUUCGGCCUCAAACACCUUGGCUCGGGCUAUCUCCUCGGAAAGGUCAAAACCUCGUGUAUGAAUUUCCUCGAGGGUUUCUCUCCGGGAUUGACACUUUGCCAAGUCGAUAACCCAUUGCUCUCGGUCAGAAGCCUCCCUUAGCUGCAUCUGAGCAGCCUCAGCAUCGGCCCGGUACAUGGCAAUGGACUUAUCCGCCACGACCUCAGCAAGCCCGUUUUCGAGCAAGCCCGGUUUCGAGCUCUUCGAUCCUCUUGGCUUGGGCCGAACUUUUCUCUUUGGCACCCCGAAGUUGCGAUGACAAUUUGGCCAAGGCAGUUUCUUUUUCUGCAGCCAGGCAGUCCAUGUUACCCUUCCACCGAUCACAAUCGGCCUUGACCUGAUCGACUUCUCCCCGAAGUAACUCGAUCCUUUCAACCUUUUGCUGCAGCUGAGAUAGCGAAGUAUUAGCUUCCACAUUUGGGUCAAGUCCAUACUCUAUCAAAAGAGUGCUCACCUGCUUAUCUAGCUCAGCCUCUUCCUCACGAGCCUUGGCCAAAUCCGCUUGGAGGUCAUUUAUAGCCUCGUCCUUUUGGCCGCAAAGAAGCUUUAGAGCAUUCUUCUCCUCCGAGACCUUUUGGAGCUCGGUUUCAAACUGGCUGAGGUCAACUCGAAGCUUGACAAAGGCCUGCACAAAAGGGGAAAACACAAGUUAGCUUGACGAAAGACUGCACAAGUUUGGCGAAGGUCUACACAAUAAAUUCUUACUCGAGAUAAGAGACGUUGGGCUUCUUCUAAAAGAAUCGAAGCGUCACUAAGAUCGGAGGCAUCAUCAACUCCUGUAAAGCAGUCCCGAAAGGGAUCCCCUACACCGGAGCCUCUGCUUAUAUCGGGGGCCUUCAACUCUAGAGCUUCCCUUAGCGCCUCCUCAGAAAAGGCCGGAAGAGAAGGCGAGUGGCCUACUGUCAUGACCCCGAGCAAGUCGCUCGGAAUGCUCUGAUCAACCUUCGGGGUCUCAGAACCGGCCCCGUCCGGUAUAGCUAUAGUUGUCCGAGAAACGACCUCGACCUCUGGUAACUCGAGAUCCUUACCCGAUUUCUUUUCAGGAGCCUCCUCGAUACGAGGAUUGAUUUUAACAGUUGUCCUAGGUCGGACCGUCAGCGCCGAAGCAUUUUCCUCUUCUUCCUCUUCUCCGUCUCUCAAUUUUUGGAUCGAGUCCAUCGUGAGGGCGAGUAUUUUUCUCCUCACCCUUCGAGGUUUGGGCUUGGGGUCCUCGGACUGCAAUGCAACUUUCCUCUUCUUGUCUUCCCCCGGCUUCGGAACCGGGGACUUGUUUCCUUCCUCGCCACUUGAGGGCCUCAAAAUGACAUCCUUGGUGAGGCCUGCAUGAAAGAAAAUUAGUAACAGACGAGGUAUAAAAAAUGAUUUAGAACAUAAAAGGGAGAUCCUUACCAUGAUUCUUGGCCUCCCACCUGCCCUUUGCCAAAUCACGCCAUGCGCGUUCGGCGUAGGUGGAAGUCGAGGCUAACUUCCGAACCCAAUCUUCAAGGUCUGGUACCGCAUGAAGCAUCCAAGGAACAGAUGCACAUCGAAAGGUGAUAUUAGGCGAAAUCGAAGAAGGAUCACUUACGAUUGAAGAACAAAAUUUAAAAGGAUCACUUACGAUUGAAGUUCCACUCCUCAUGGAACGACAACUUCUCUUCCGGGAUAAUAUCACGGGUCCUCACUCGUACGAAACGGCCCAUCUAACCCCGAUCCUUGUCCUCAUCGAUGCUCGAGGUCAAGGCCUUUGUUGCCCGGCGUUGGAGCCUGAUUAGUCCUCGAUAGAUUCGAGGCCGAUACAACCGCAUGAGGUGACUUAGAGUAAACUCUAGUCCCUCGGCCUUGCUAGAGAAGAAGCGCAACAUAAUCACUAUGCGCCAUAGAGAGGGGUGGACUUGGCCGAGGGUGACCUGAUACUUUUUGCAAAAGUCAAUAAUCACUGGGUCGAGGGGACCCAAUGUGAAGGGGUAAGUGUAAACACUUAGGAACCCCUCCACAUAAGCGGUGAUACCCUCUUCAGGAGCAGGAAUAUGCACCUCGACCUUGGGCCCCCAGUUGCAGUCCCUCUUCACAGCCUCGAGAUGGCCCUCUGUUAUCGAGCACAUGUACAUCGACACAUGCUCACAUCGGCCCGGGAUCGAUGAAGGAUUUUUGACCUUGAAGUCGGAUUUCAGAAUACACGGGCCGGGAACAUACUCGUGGGGAAGCGGCUCCGCCGGCGCCUUGCCGUCGGACGGCCGGGAAGAAGAGCUAGAAGCUUUCUCCUUCUGCGGUACAGUCUUUGAAGUUUUCGCCAUUUGAAUAAGUGAAGAAGAGCAAAGGAAGGUAAAAAACUGGUGGUUUUAGUACUAACGAAGAUGGCUCUGCAGGCGGCGAAAAGGAGGAGACGAAAAGAAUAAGAAGAUUUAGAGGUUUGAUUAGAGCGAAAGUAGAGUUUGAUUCAAAGAAGGAACGGGUAUUUAUAGGUUCACGGCGACGGUUCGGUGGUGCUAGUGGCCGACCGCUAACCGACACGCAUUUAAUGCCUUAAAAAAAAUAAACCAACAGAACAACAAUCACACGCGUCAUGAUCAAGCCCGAUGUAAAUGUCAGCUUUUAUCUGAUCGAGCCGUUGAGAAAUCAUAUCGUUUCUCGCCACAUCCUUCCCGAGAAACGAGGGGACUAUCUGUAUACGGUCGAAACUGAUUUCGGCUUUCGUACGUCUGAUCGAGAUCGAAACAUAAUGGAUCGAAAAAAGUCUUUAUAAUAUCGAGAUGUGAUCCGAAGAAGGCACGAACGAGCUUCGAUUUUCGGGGACAGAUCAAACACCGAGUUCGAAGUCAUUAUCGAGCUCGGGUCUGAAUCGAACUAUGAUGAGAUGUUAUGGAAUCGAGCUUAAGGGGCAAAGGCCAACCGAUACCGAGCUCGAGUCAUUACCAGACCCCGAGUCAGCAUCGAGCUCAAGUCCGCAUCGAGCUCUAAAAACAAUACCGACCAGCACCGAGUCCGAUCAAGCUCGAGCUCACAGACAAGAGCCAUUGCAACCGCACUAAGGGAGAGAAUCUCGGCGGGAAUUAGGAAAAAACUUAUUUAUCAUGGGUUCCCCACUAUGUAUUUUUAAUUAUAUCUAAAGUAGAAUCCUUCACUAUAAAGAGGAUUGCUACAUUUCUGUAAAAGGACAGUUUUUUGCUUACAUUGUAACUCAAACACCAUACACUCCUAUAUUGAAGAGUUAUUUUUUUUAGCUUCAUAGAUUGAUUCAUCUUGAUUAGUCCUUAAAAUCAUCUUCUUUCCAACCCUGUUUAUUUUGCAUUCUUUGCAAUCCGUAUUUGAUAUUUCUAUUUAUCCUUACGAUUUGUAUUAAGUUAUAUCACAUAUCCUUAGAACUACGUAAAAAUUCUAACUCCAUCCGUUUUUCGGGUAAACAAUGCUAUUGUUAAAUUCCUGACAUUCUAUAUUCUAUGGGAGAAAAAACGUGUAGUAGGUUUUCAUUUAAAGAAGUUUCUUUUUGAGUAUUUUAUCUAUAUAUUUGUGUGAUGAAUGUGCAAACAUAUGUCUGCUAUUAUAGCUGGAAGACUUGCCAACUGAGCACUUCUGCUUUGGUGGACUACUUAUAUAAUAAAGAUAAUGAAGAUAAAAUUCUCUCUUUUUUCUGUUUCUUAAACUCUGGCCCAAAGAAAGAGAGAGAGAAAAUGACACUCAGUCAGAUAGUUUAAUGAAGCUAAAAUUCUCUCUUUCUCUGUUUCUUAUUUGUGUUUGUUUAAGGUCCUUUGGGUUAGAUUUUACUGUUGAAUCUCCUUUUAUUUUGCUUAAUUGCUAAGGUAUGAGACUCUUUUAUUCAUUACACGUCACAGUUGUCUUUCAUUUGUUUCUAUUUUUAUUUAUUUGUUUUCUGAGUGUCCUAAUUGAUACAUACAUGCACUUGUAAUAGCUUUAGAAGAACUUGUAGGCAGCCUGCAGGGAUCCUCAGAAACAAUGGGAUACUGUUUAACGAAUCUACUCAAAAGGUACACAUCUUAUUGAAUUAUGUAUUGACAUUACUAGGAUCUUUCUUCAGAAUAUUACUGGAUUUAUGGAAAAUAUUUUUGUCGUUUUGCUCCUUAAAUACUAAUGUCUGAUGCACAUUUGUUUUAAUUAAUUGCUAUAGACUAUAACAAAGAUUUAAAAAGUGAAUUAACUUAUAAUACAAUCAUGCUUCCUCAUUGACAGUUUCAAGUUGUUGUAUAAUCAUGUAAAACGACAAGGUGUUGAUAUUCCAAUGAUGGACUUUUUGAAACACUUCAUGAUGAAUGGCUAAGGGGAUCUUGCAAUUCUGUAGCAAAGUUCUCGAUGAGCUUGGUGUGACAAAAAGAGAGGACAAAGUUGUUUUAGAUUUUUUAUUGAUUAUUAGCAAUAAUAAUAUCCCUUCAGGUUCAGGGACAUCAGAUAAAAUUAACGACAAAAAAUAAUAUGUUUUGGUUAUUCCAAAAAAUCUGACCAUUUUUUCUUGAUUAAUUUAGUGUUGCUUUAUAACGAUAUAACAACCCAGUAUAAUCUCACCAGUGAGAUCUGGGGAGGGUAGUGUAUACGCAGACCUUACUCCUACCCCUGGGGUAGAGAGGCUGUUUCCGAUAGACCCUCGACUCCCUUCCUCCAAGAACUCCCCACCUUGCUCUUGGAGUGACUCGAACUCACAAUCUCUUGGUUGGAAGUGGAGGGUGCUCCAAAAUAAUUUUUUUUAAGAUGAGUUUUACUUUUUAUAGCUUAUGUACUUGCGAGCCAUGUUUCAUAUGUGAUUUGAAUACCAUUACGUCCUAUAGUAAAUAUUCUCGGCCAAAAGGAACAAAAGAAAAGAGAAGCAGAAAAAGAAUAAUUAACCCAAAAGUAGAAUCAGACUAUCUUAAAAUUCUAUCAUCACUUUGAAACCCACUCCUUUAGAUGCAUGAUUCAGAUUCUAUUGGAACACACGGGUGCUUUUUGUGGUUUUAGGGGUAUUUAUGACUGAUAUCCCACCGUGAGUUUUGAUUUUUUAAAACUGAAUAUUGCCAUAUUUGACUUGGAGCAUUUGUUUUGAAGGUAAGGUUAUGAUGCUCACUAAUCUAAUCUUUGCUUCUAUGCUUGAUUAUUUCUUUUUCAUGCAAAAAAAUAUGAUCUGUUGAGGAGAUAUACAUAACUUAAGGUUUAAAACCUAUGUUUGAUAUAUUUAUCAGCGUAUAACAGAAACGCCUAACUUUGUUGGGAUGGAGAAAGAAUAAGCGCAUUUCCAACUUUCCUGAAUGAGGUUGUGAUUGCACAGCUGCUCAAUUGGGUUUCAUGGCUUUUGUUGGAGAAGAGGCAAAUAUCACUCAAGAUUAAAUUCAUGCAGUGGGAGAGUAUAUGGUGACUCUAUCCUACUGUCAUUGUUCUUGUUGCUCUAAGUUUACAGUUUUUGCCUUUGUAGGAGCGAUGUUAGUGUUGCAAGCUACACUGAAAACUGGUGUUUCGCAUAGGUAAAAAAUUACAUGUAUGCUGAAGCUGCAAAAGACAUUUGUGAUUUGAUUCAAUAUGAACAUAAAGUAGACUUUCAAAUUGUACAGCAGAAGUUAAUCUAUAAG